rnacentral:rRNA from 1 species
AUUGAACGCUCGCGGGAUGCUUUACACAUGCAAGUCGAACGGCAGCGCGGACUUCGGUCUGGCGGCGAGUGGCGAACGGGUGAGUAAUGUAUCGGAACGUGCCCAGUAGCGGGGGAUAACUACGCGAAAGCGUAGCUAAUACCGCAUACGCCCUACGGGGGAAAGCAGGGGAUCGUAAGACCUUGCACUAUUGGAGCGGCCGAUAUCGGAUUAGCUAGUUGGUGAGGUAACGGCUCACCAAGGCGACGAUCCGUAGCUGGUUUGAGAGGACGACCAGCCACACUGGGACUGAGACACGGCCCAGACUCCUACGGGAGGCAGCAGUGGGGAAUUUUGGACAAUGGGGGCAACCCUGAUCCAGCCAUCCCGCGUGUGCGAUGAAGGCCUGCGGGUUGUAAAGCACUUUUGGCAGGAAAGAAACGUCGCGGGCUAAUACCCCGUGGAACUGACGGUACCUGCAGAAUAAGCACCGGCUAACUACGU